UGAGGAAUAUUGGUCAAUGGGCGAGAGUCUGAACCAGCCAAGUAGCGUGCAGGAUGACGGCCCUAUGGGUUGUAAACUGCUUUUAUACGGGGAUAAAGUGAGGCACGUGUGCCUUUUUGUAUGUACCUUAUGAAUAAGGACCGGCUAAUUCCCGUG
rnacentral:rRNA from 1 species